GACGAACCGUGCGAACGUUAUUCGGAAUCAUUGGGCGUAAAGAGCUUGUAGGCGGCGUCAUAAGUUGGACGUGAAAACUCCGGGCUUAACUUGGAGAGGCCGUUCAAUACUGUGAGGCUAGAGGGUGUCAGAGGGAAGUAGAAUUCCUGGUGUAGCAGUGAAAUGCGUAGAUAUCAGGAGGAAUACCCGUGGCGAAGGCGGCUUCCUGGGGCACCACUGACGCUGAGAAGCGAAAGCUAGGGGAGCAAACGGG
rnacentral:rRNA from 1 species